GUGCCUUAUUGCUAUUAGAAACUGGUUACCAAUGUAAUUAGAGCAGUAAAAAUUAAAUGUUUUGUCAUACCCGUGGUAUACGGUCUGAUGUACCAUGGCUGUCAGCCAAUCAGCAUUCAGGGCUUGAACCACCCAGUUUGUAAUUCUCUAUAAAAUGGUGAGUGUCAACAUCCAGCUGUAUUUUGUCUGUUUUACAGCAGGCUAGUGUUCUCAGGAGAAUCCAGCUGAGUUUAAACACAGCAUGCUGUUUUCUUCCAUAGUGAGUAACAUGCCAGGGCCAGGAGCCGCUUCCAGGAGCCGCUUCCAGGAGCCGCUUCCAGGAGCCGCUUCCAGGAGCCGCUUCCAGGAGCCGCUUCCAGGAGCCGCUUCCAGGAGCCGCUUCCAGGAGCCGCUUCCAGGAGCCGCUUCCAGGCCACUCAGUGUGUGGUGUGUUGCUCUCUCCUGCGUCUCUCCCAUUACCAUGACAUUCCUUCACACAGACACUGCCCCACUGACGGCCAUCUUUGCUUGUUCCAUCGCCAUAAGCAACAACAGCCCAGCAGAGAGAAGGAACACAGUGCACAUCAAAAAUGAAGACAUUGUACACGACACUGUGCACAUCAAAUUAAAAAAAGUGUAAUGAACCCAGAUGUUUUCAGUCUAAUCUAACCUACUCUCUGACAGGAUAUGUGUAAUCUAAAGAGAAUAUAGUGACAUGGAGUUGCAUCUCCUCCAGUAUGUAUGUAAGCGCUGCACAUUAGUCUUUGGCAUGGUUCAGUAUCGGAGAAGCCCAUUGGUUGAGCUGACGUUCACGCCAGACCAAUAACAGGAGAACAGAAGAUCAGGUCAAUGCUUCAUCGUCGUGGAUUAAAAACCUCGUAUUUACUUGGUUAAAUAACAUCCACAUACGUUUCCCAGUGACAUAAAGAGGGAAAUAAAAAUAAACACAUUAAAUCUGAGUCUGAAUCGAUUUUUUUUAAAACUGUUGAGUUUGAAAGAGAUCCACCAUAUUAUCAAUUGUAAGACUUUAAUUCUUUAAGACUUUAAAUUCUUUACGACAGUAUUAAGACAUCUAUAAACGUUCUUCAGGGCUUGAGACUUUUUCAGAGAGGCAGCUGUUCUCAUACACUCCUCAGAGUACACUACAGCUGUACCAACCCACCACAUCCACCCCAGGAGGUUAACAGACGGCCCUACCGGGACAACCCACCACAUCCACCCCAGGAGGUUAACAGACGGCCCUACCAGGACAACCCACCACAUCCACCCCAGGAGGUUAACAGACAGCCCUACCAGGACAACCCACCACAUCCACCCCAGGAGGUUAACAGACGGCCCUACCAGGACAACCCACCACAUCCACCCCAGGAGGUUAACAGACGGCCCUACCAGGACAACCCACCACAUCCACCCCAGGAGGUUAACAGACAGCCCUACCAGGACAACCCACCACAUCCACCCCAGGAGGUUAACAGACAGCCCUACCAGGACAACCCACCACAUCCACCCCAGGAGGUUAACAGACA